rnacentral:rRNA from 1 species
ACAUGCAGUCGAGCGGACAGAUGGGAGCUUGCUCCCUGAUGUUAGCGGCGGACGGGUGAGUAACACGUGGGUAACCUGCCUGUAAGACUGGGAUAACUCCGGGAAACCGGGGCUAAUACCGGAUGUUUGUUUGAACCGCAUGGUUCAAACAUAAAAGGUGGCUUCGGCUACCACUUACAGAUGGACCCGCGGCGCAUUAGCUAGUUCGGUGAGGUAACGUCUCACCAAGGCAACGAUGCGUAGCGACCUGAGAGGGGGAACAACUCUACUGGAACUGAGACACGGUCCAGAUCUAUACGGGAGGCAGCAGUAGGGAAUCUUCCGCAAUGGACGAAAGUCUGACGGAGCAACGCCGCGUGAGUGAUGAAGGUUUUCGGAUCGUAAAGCUCUGUUGUUAGGGAAGAACAAGUACCGUUCGAAUAGGGCGGUACCUUGACGGUACCUAACCAGAAAGCCACGGCUAACUACGUGCCAGCAGCCGCGGUAAUACGUAGGUGGCAAGCGUUGUCCGGAAUUAUUGGGCGUAAAGGGCUCGCAGGCGGUUUCUUAAGUCUGAUGUGAAAGCCCCCGGCUCAACCGGGGAGGGUCAUUGGAAACUGGGGAACUUGAGUGCAGAAGAGGAGAGUGGAAUUCCACGUGUAGCGGUGAAAUGCGUAGAGAUGUGGAGGAACACCAGUGGCGAAGGCGACUCUCUGGUCUGUAACUGACGCUGAGGAGCGAAAGCGUGGGGAGCGAACAGGAUUAGAUACCCUGGUAGUCCACGCCGUAAACGAUGAGUGCUAAGUGUUAGGGGGUUUCCGCCCCUUAGUGCUGCAGCUAACGCAUUAAGCACUCCGCCUGGGGAGUACGGUCGCAAGACUGAAACUCAAAGGAAUUGACGGGGGCCCGCACAAGCGGUGGAGCAUGUGGUUUAAUUCGAAGCAACGCGAAGAACCUUACCAGGUCUUGACAUCCUCUGACAAUCCUAGAGAUAGGACGUCCCCUUCGGGGGCAGAGUGACAAGUGGUGCAUGGUUUUUCGUCAGCCCCGGGUCGGGAGAAGGUUGGGUUAAGUCCCCGCAACGAGGGGCAACCCUUGGAUUUUAGUUGCC